rnacentral:lncRNA from 1 species
UGUACGGCUUGUCCGUGCUACGUCCCCGAUGUUCGCAAACCGCGUCGGCAAGUACUCAUGUGGGCUCGUAGUACGCCUGGUGGUGACACCGCUCGUGACAAACAUUGGCUUUUGGCAACGAAAGGCGGAGCAUCAUGCAAGUAGCGCCUUCGGGUGCCGUGCGCAUGGGGCGAAGCUUAGUACAUGUUGAUUGCCAUUGGAUGUUGCGGGCAAAAUCGGGAGGCGACAUCGCUCGUGGCGGCUGAUGGCUUUUGGCAACAGAACGGCUAAGCAUCGUGCAAGUGGCGUCGUAAGGUGCCGUGCGCAUGGGGCGAAGCUUAGUAAGUUGCCGAUUGCCAUCGAUUGUUGCGGGCAACAUCGGGAGGC